rnacentral:rRNA from 1 species
ACGGGAGGCAGCAGUGGGGAAUUUUGGACAAUGGGGGCAACCCUGAUCCAGCCAUGCCGCGUGUGUGAAGAAGGCCUUCGGGUUGUAAAGCACUUUCGGCCGGAACGAAAUCGCGCGAUCUAAUAAGUCGCGUGGAUGACGGUACCGGAAGAAGAAGCACCGGCUAACUACGUGCCAGCAGCCGCGGUAAUACGUAGGGUGCGAGCGUUAAUCGGAAUUACUGGGCGUAAAGUGUGCGCAGGUGGCCGCGCAUGUCGAGUGUGAAAUCCCCGGGCUUAACUUGGGAAUUGCGCUCGAAACUACGUGGCUGGAGUGUGGCAGAGGGAGGUGGAAUUCCACGUGUAGCGGUGAAAUGCGUAGAGAUGUGGAGGAACACCAAUGGCGAAGGCAGCCUCCUGGGCCAACACUGACACUCAUGCACGAAAGCGUGGGGAGCAAACAGGAUUAGAUACCCUGGUA